CUGAUGUUCUGGAAGCAUCUAUUCUAAAUUAUAAUUAUUAUCUCAAUUAAGUUAUUUUCUCUUGACUAAUUCUGAACUCGUGCAUAUUUUUAGAAGACCUGCGAGAGAUCUGGGUCUGACCCUGCUAAGGAAGUGACUCUCUCUCAGAUGUUGAUGCCUCUUCUCAGUGAGACCAAGCUUUAAUCUGCAUUUGAUUUGCAAGUUACAUUGAUCUGGUGUCAAAGUGGGGUGGGAGAAAUCCUGGAUUCCACAGUCUGAUCUCAGCAUGAAACAGGAAAAGCUGGAAUGAAUUAGAAUUUACUACAGCCAUUGCAAUUAAACAGAGGUGAACCUAUGUUGGAGGGAAAUAUGGAAGCCAUUGGAACUGAGGAAGCUGCCUUAUACAGAAUCAGGUCAUCAGCCCAUUUUGCCAACUCUAACUAGCAGCAUCUAUACAUGGUUUAGGCAGGAUUCUUUAAUAAGCCUGACUUGAGGACUUUGAUACUCUUUGGUGGCAUCCCAUCCAAAUAUUAACCAUGCCCAGUU